rnacentral:lncRNA from 1 species
UGUUCUGAAAGUCAAAGGUGACCUCUUGUGAUUAAGUUAAUUCUCAAAGUCUAUUGAGCAACAAGAAUACAAGAAGCUUUCUAUUCAAGUCUAGCUGCCGAUCUCACCGAGUAUCUAUUUCAGUAUCACCGAGUAUCUAUUUCAGUAUCCCCUGGCCUUAUAGGACUUGAAACAAAGUUCACAAGAAUUCAUUGUGCUAAUUAUCUUCUCAAAUCAAUCAUUCAGCCAUAUGGCAUUAAAUUCAUAGAGAGUAAAGGGUCAUUGCAAGCAGUUCUAACUUCUCUCACCUCAGACGAAGCUUGGGUCCUAUUACAUCUUCAAGAAACCGAGCAAAAGCAGACUACAUGGCUCUAAAGCUAUCAUUUCAUAAUAUUUAUUGACUAAUCACAAACACUGAACUCAAUUAAUUCUACAGAGAGAAUAGAAAUACA